rnacentral:rRNA from 1 species
GAUGAACGCUGGCGGCGUGCCUAAUACAUGCAAGUCGAGCGAACGGACGAGAAGCUUGCUUCUCUGAUGUUAGCGGCGGACGGGUGAGUAACACGUGGAUAACCUACCUAUAAGACUGGGAUAACUUCGGGAAACCGUAGCUAAUACCGGAUAAUAUUUUGAACCGCAUGGUUCAAAAGUGAAAGACGGUCUUGCUGUCACUUAUAGAUGGAUCCGCGCUGCAUUAGCUAGUUGGUAAGGUAACGGCUUACCAAGGCAACGAUGCAUAGCCGACCUGAGAGGGUGAUCGGCCACACUGGAACUGAGACACGGUCCAGACUCCUACGGGAGGCAGCAGUAGGGAAUCUUCCGCAAUGGGCGAAAGCCUGACGGAGCAACGCCGCGUGAGUGAUGAAGGUCUUCGGAUCGUAAAACUCUGUUAUUAGGGAAGAACAGAUGUGUAAGUAACUGUGCACAUCUUGACGGUACCUAAUGAGAAAGCCACGGCUAACUACGUG